GACGAACGCUGGCGGCGUGCUUAACACAUGCAAGUCGAACGGAAAGGCCCUGCUUUUGUGGGGUGCUCGAGUGGCGAACGGGUGAGUAACACGUGAGUAACCUGCCCUUGUCUUUGGGAUAACUUCAGGAAACUGGGGCUAAUACCGGAUAGGAUCUCCUGCUGCAUGGUGGGGGUUGGAAAGUUUCGGCGGUUGGGGAUGGACUCGCGGCUUAUCAGCUUGUUGGUGGGGUAGUGGCUUACCAAGGCUUUGACGGGUAGCCGGCCUGAGAGGGUGACCGGCCACAUUGGGACUGAGAUACGGCACAGACUCCAACGGGAGGCAGCAGUGGGGAAUAUUGCACAAUGGGCGGAAGCCUGAUGCAGCAACGCCGCGUGCGGGAUGACGGCCUUCGGGUUGUAAACCGCUUUCGCCUGUGACGAAGCGUGAGUGACGGUAAUGGGUAAAGAAGCACCGGCUAACUACGUG
rnacentral:rRNA from 1 species